rnacentral:rRNA from 1 species
AAUUAAAGCGGGAGGGAAGAACUAACUAGGAUUCCCUCAGUAGCUGCGAGCGAACAGGGAAGAGCCCAGCACCGCAAUCCCGCGGCCGAUACCGGGCGCCGGGAAAUGUGGUGUUAGGGAGGAUCCGUUUAUCCCGAGGUCGUGCGGUGCGUCCAAGUCCUUCUUGAACGGGGCCACAGCCCAUAGAGGGUGCCAGGCCCGUAGUGACCGCUGCCGAUCGCGGGAGGAUCUCUCCUCAGAGUCGGGUUGCUUGAGAGUGCAGCCCUAAGUGGGUGGUAAACUCCAUCUAAGGCUAAAUAUGACCACGAGACCGAUAGCGAACAAGUACCGUGAGGGAAAGUUGAAAAGCACUUUGAAGAGAGAGUUCAAGAGUACGUGAAACCGUUCAGGGGUAAACCUGAGAAACCCGAAAGGUCGAAAGGGGAAAUUCAUUCGCGUUUCGGCCGUCGGCGUCGGAUGGUCGAGUGACGGAUGGCGUACGCGUCGUCCGCGCCUUCCUUCCUUCGAACCGGCGUCGAACGCGUGCACUUUUCCCCUAGUAGGACGUCGUGAUCCGUUGGGUGUCGGUCUAAGGCCUGCGGUGGAGCCCGCGUGGACGUUUCAACGACGUUCAUUCGGACCCGCGGUGUCCCGGCCGACUCGCUCGACGGUAUACAGAUGGCGUGGGGCCGCUACUCAGUUAGCGUUCGGCCUGCGGCAAGCACGUUCGGCGUUUGACGGCGAUCGGACCUGGUGCCGGUCCUGUCCCCGAA